CCUAGCCCUUCAGAGGGGACAACAGUUGGAAACGACUGCUAAUACCGCAUACGAUCUAACCUCGGCAUCGAGGAUAGAUGAAAGGUGGCCUCUAUUUAUAAGCUAUCACUGAAGGAGGGGAUUGCGUCUGAUUAGCUAGUUGGAGGGGUAACGGCCCACCAAGGCGAUGAUCAGUAGCCGGUCUGAGAGGAUGAACGGCCACAUUGGGACUGAGACACGGCCCAG
rnacentral:rRNA from 1 species